ensembl:lncRNA
AGAAAGGCCAUGCAGAGACCGUAACAGAUUGCGCAUGGGCAGAGAUCCGUUGCUCAGCAGCAUCUUGUGAUCUGGUCAGUUCGCGGCAAAACACCAGAGGAGUCUGCAUGGUUUUAGUUUGCUUGUUACUGACAGUUUAAUUGGUAGAAGUUAGUCCUGUAACAUAUUAUUCUUAGACAUGUUUUUGCGUCACUGCGAACCACACAGUGAGAAAGAUCCCUCAUCCUCACCCCUGGAAUAUCGAUUGUGGAGGUCGUCAUGAACAUUUAAAAAUUCACAUGGAGUAACUGCAGAGCAAAUGCAAAGAACACUGAUACACCAGCCAUGCCUUCAUCAUCGACCCUGACAGGUGUGAUGAUAGGUGGUGAAGGGACUGCAAAACAAGAAGACAUUUAAAAACCUCUGUCCUUCCUGGCCUGGACUCCACAGCCUCCAUGACUCUACCAUUGCCAUUUCUGGGGGGGGCGAUGCUGCUGCCAGGUUUGUCAGUGAUGGUGACUGAGGCGUGUCACGUGCAUACGAGCAGUGGGCUUGCCGCAGGCUUGGAGAAAUGAGCAUGCACACCACCCCCCCUCAGAUGUCCUUCCUGGCCUGGACUCCACAGCCUCCAUGACUCUACCAUUGCCAUUUCUUAGGUCCUCGUGCAUCCUUUCCUCCUCUCCAUACCCUCCAGGAAACUGAAAAUCCCCCCCCUCACAAGUAAGGAAAGGAAGAGGCAAAUGCACUGUCCUCAUCACCAUCACAGGAAUCCUCUGAUGGUACAUCCACCUCCACUCCCAGGGCUAUCAUCACUUCAAAACUAUUUGACCCCUCACAAUCCCUCCCCACACCACCCCCUCACAAUCACCCCCCCCCACACCACCCCCCUCACAAUCACCCCCACACCACCCCC